UACGUAGGGGGCAAGCGUUGUCCGGAUUUAUUGGGCGUAAAGAGCGUGUAGGCGGCCAGGUAGGUCCGUUGUGAAAACUGGAGGCUUAACCUCCAGCGGUCGAUGGAAACCAUCUGGCUAGAGUCCGGAAGAGGAGAGUGGAAUUCCUGGUGUAGCGGUGAAAUGCGCAGAUAUCAGGAAGAACACCCGUGGCGAAGGCGGCUCUCUGGGACGGUACUGACGCUGAGACGCGAAAAGCGUGGGGAGCGAACAGG
rnacentral:rRNA from 1 species